UGUGUAUUCCCUCCGUUCCAAAAUACUUGACUUCCAUUUGUCCAAAAAUGGAUGUACCUAUAUACUAAAACAUGUCUAGAUACAUAUAUAUUUUGACAAAUAGAAGGCAUGUAUUGUGCAACGGAGGGAGUAGAAU
rnacentral:pre_miRNA from 1 species